UCCGGUUUGUCACCGGCAGUCAACCUAGAGUGCCCAGCUUAACCUGCUGGCAACUAAGUUCAAGGGUUGCGCUCGUUGCGGGACUUAACCCAACAUCUCACGACACGAGCUGACGACAACCAUGCACCACCUGUCUCCUCUGUCCCGAAGGAAAGGUACAUCUCUGUACCGGUCAGAGGGAUGUCAAGACCUGGUAAGGUUCUUCGCGUUGCUUCGAAUUAAACCACAUACUCCACUGCUUGUGCGGGUCCCCGUCAAUUCCUUUGAGUUUCAGUCUUGCGACCGUACUCCCCAGGCGGAGUGCUUAAUGUGUUAACUUCGGCACCGAGGGCAUGAUACCCCCAACACCUAGCACUCAUCGUUUACAGCGUGGACUAC
rnacentral:misc_RNA from 1 species